GAGGGAGAAGCAGGCUCCCCAAAGGGAUCCCCAGGACCCUGAGAUCACGAGAUGGCCCAGAGAUUACUUAAAAAAAAAAUACAUAUAUAUAUAUAUAUAGAGAGAGAGAGAGAGAGAGAGAGAGAGAGAGAGAGAGGGAGAGACCUGGGUAGCUCAGCUGUUGAGCAUCUGCCUUUGGUUCAGGGCCUAAUCCUGGAGUCCUGAGAUUGAGUCCCACAUCAGGCUCCCUGCAUAGAGUCUGGGAGUCUGCAAAAUUUAAAAUUUUAUAUAUAUACACUAGGGCACCUAGAUGGCUUCUCUCCCUCUGCCCCUCCCUCCUAUGCUUUCUCUCUAAUUCAACUAAAUAAAAUUUUAAAUAUAUAUAUUAAAUAAAAUUUAAAAAUAAAAUAUUUAAAAUAACACUAAGAAAAAAAACUAUAUACAGAAAAGGAAAUAAGAAGGGAACCAAAAUAAUAACACUAGGGAAAAAAACGAAAAGAAGGCACUAAUGGAGAAAUAUUAAGUGAAAGAAGCUAUACAGAAAGAACCAUGUAUUUUAUGAUUCUGCUUAUUUUUUUGUUAAGAUUUUGAGAGAACAUGAGUGAGGAGGUAAGAAAGAGUCUGAGAGAGAGGGAGAAGCAGACUCCUCCCUGAGUGGGGACCCCAAAGCGGAACUUGAUCUCAGGACCCUGGGAUCAUGACCUGAGCCAAAGGCAGAUCCUCAACAGACUGAGCCAUCGGCACCCCUACAUAAUUCUGUUUAUGUAAAAUAUCCAUAAUAGGCAAAUCCAUAGAGAUAGGAAGCAGAUUGGUGGUCACCAAGGGCUGGGGGAAGAGGGAAGGAGGGAGGAACUGCUUGGCAGGUGAAGAGUUCCAUUUUAUUUUAUUUUAUUUUAUUUUAUUUUAUUUUAUUUUUUAUUUUAUUUUAUUUUUAUAUUAUUUUAUUAUUAUUUUAUUUUAUUAUUUUAUUUUAUUUUUUAAAGAUUUUAUUUAUUCAUGAGAGACAUAGAGAGGCAGACAUAGGCAGAGGGAGAAGCAUGCUCCCCACGGGGAGCCCGAUGCAGGACUUGAUCUGAAGGCAUAUGCUUAACCACCAAGCCACCCAGGCAUCCCAAGAAUUCCCUUUUAGAGUGAUGAAAAAGGUUUUGGAACUGUUUGGUAAUGGUGGCACAACACUGUGUAUGUUCUAAAAGCCACUGAAUUGUACACUUUUUUUUUUUUUAAGGAUUUUAUUUAUUCAUGAGAGAGACAGAGAGACAGAGGGAGAGAGGCAGAGGGAGAAGCAGACUCCAUGCAGGGAGCCCAACGCAGGACUUGAUCCCGGGUCUCCAAGAUCAGGCCCUGGGCUGAAGGCAGCAUUAAACCGCUGAGCCACCUGAGCUGCCCAGAAGGAGAAGCAGGCUCCCUGCAAGGAGCCUGAUGUGGGACUCGAUCCUGGAUCCCAGGAUUAUGCCCUGAGUCGAAGGCAGAUGCUCAACCACUGAGCCACCCAGGCGUCCCUGAAUUGUACACUUUAGUGAGUUUUAGGCCAGGCGAAUUUUACCACAAUAAAAAAGAAUGUUAAAGGAAAGUGCUUUAUAUAAAAAUAUGGAGUAAAAACUAUAGGAGCUGUGGCAAAACAGCCAAAAUCAUAACAGUGAUCCAGGAAUGCCUAAAGUUUACGGAAUAUCGCUUUAGUCAGAAUAUUUGAAAAUAAAUAGUUCUAGAGUAAAGUAUCUGCCCUACCAGACAGGUGGGCAGGCAGGGAGCCCCACGUUUAGGGAAAGUCAUCCAAGUGGCUAAAGGGCCCAAAAUAAAUGGAGCAGUAUGAUAUUUUGAGAUAUCUGACUUUGUUCUUUCUGCUGUGGAAUUUCACCCCUUACAGAGGCAGCUAAACUCAUUGCCCCAGGGAGGGAUGUGACAGAGCAGAAAGCAGGAACAAAGGACUCUUUGUAGCUUUCACCUCCUCCAGCUCAGAACUCUUAGGGGAUAAGACCUCUGCAAAAAAUAUUUUUGGGCCUGAGCAGGAAGGUCAAAAAGGCC
rnacentral:lncRNA from 1 species